rnacentral:rRNA from 1 species
UGGGGAAUAUUGGACAAUGGGGGGAACCCUGAUCCAGCCAUGCCGCGUGUGUGAAGAAGGCCUUAUGGUUGUAAAGCACUUUAAGCGAGGAGGAGGCUCUUCUAGUUAAUACCUAGGAUGAGUGGACGUUACUCGCAGAAUAAGCACCGGCUAACUCUGUGCCAGCAGCCGCGGUAAUACAGAGGGUGCGAGCGUUAAUCGGAUUUACUGGGCGUAAAGCGUGCGUAGGCGGCUUUUUAAGUCGGAUGUGAAAUCCCCGAGCUUAACUUGGGAAUUGCAUUCGAUACUGGGAAGCUAGAGUAUGGGAGAGGAUGGUAGAAUUCCAGGUGUAGCGGUGAAAUGCGUAGAGAUCGGGAGGAAUACCGAUGGCGAAGGCAGCCAUCUGGCCUAAUACUGACGCUGAGGUACGAAAGCAUGGGGAGCAAACAGG